CAGUAGCCGCGGUAAUACGAAGGGUGCAAGCGUUAAUCGGAAUUACUGGGCGUAAAGCGUGCGUAGGCGGUUUGUUAAGUCUGUUGUGAAAUCCCCGGGCUCAACCUGGGAAUGGCAAUGGAUACUGGCAAGCUAGAGUGUGUCAAAGGAUGGUGGAAUUCCCGGUGUAGCGGUGAAAUGCGUAGAGAUCGGGAGGAACAUCAGUGGCGAAGGCGGCCAUCUGGGACAACACUGACGCUGAGGCACGAAAGCGUGGGGAGCAAACAGGAUUAGAUACCCCUGUAGUCCCUGUCUCUUAUAC
rnacentral:rRNA from 1 species